rnacentral:rRNA from 1 species
UACGUAGGGGGCAAGCGUUAUCCGGAUUUACUGGGUGUAAAGGGAGCGUAGACGGCAUUGCAAGUCUGAAGUGAAAGCCCGGGGCUCAACCCCGGGACUGCUUUGGAAACUGUAGAGCUAGAGUGCUGGAGAGGUAAGCGGAAUUCCUAGUGUAGCGGUGAAAUGCGUAGAUAUUAGGAAGAACACCAGUGGCGAAGGCGGCUUACUGGACAGUAACUGACGUUGAGGCUCGAAAGCGUGGGGAGCAAACA